UCCUGUGUGUUUAUUUGGGACUGAUGCGGAUCUGGAACCAGGCGGGCGAGAAGGCUCCUCUCAAGGAAAUCUUCUCUUAACAGUUCCCGACUGUCCUAAUGCUCCAGUGAUGUCCUGUCUCUACUCCCCAAAGCACUGGGGUUACAAGCUUGUGAGCAGCCAUGCCCAACUUUUCAUGUGAUUGCUGAAGAUUAAAACUCAAGUCCUCACACAUGUGCAGCAAGCAUUCUUGCCCACGAAGCCACCUCCCCAGACUAAGAGAUGAUUAUCUUGUCAUUUGCAACACAGCGGAUGAGUCUGAAGGUCUAGUGUUCAGUAGGAUAAGCCAGGUGCAGACAUGACUGUGGACUCAUUCACUCAUGGCCAUCAUCCUGCCUCUGCUUCCUGAGAGUCACUCAUUUGUGGGAUCUAAAACAAACAAGCUCACUGAAGCAGGAGAUACCAGAAGCUGGUGAUGGCGUUAAGGAUGGAAUGUGGAGAGAAUUACAGGAAGAAGAAAUGAAUUUGAAUCCUCAGUUGCACAGGAAGAAGAGGUGAUUCGGAGAGGAGGCAGUCACAAGACAGUGGAGGCAGAAGCUCUUACAAACCAAGAACAAUGGUUUUGACAGAGCCCAGAAGCUGGGAGACAUGUCUGUGACACAGUCUCCCUUACUCCCAGAGGAGCCCAGCCCACUGUCAACUUGACAUCAGCCUCUGACCUCCAGAUGGUGAGAGAGGAAUGUUUCAAAACGGUCGGUUGGUGCUGGAGCUGGUGACCACAUCAAACUGCAUAUUUUUAUGAAGGCUCUCACCAAGGAUAAUGUUCAAUUUAUGACUCUGACACAGCAAAUGUGAGCAUUAACUAAU